AAAUGUAAAUAUUAUUAUGUCCAUAGAUUGAAGUUUCAGGUGGAGAGCAAGAUGAAAAAUAUGCAAAAUUACAUGCAUGCAACCCAUUUAUGCCAUUUUUCUCUUUGUUUGUAGGCCUGACCGUUUGUCCUUGAGCCGUUGAUGGUCAACAAUCCGCUAGCUGUCUUGCUCUGACUGGUGCACUGGACAUGAUUUCAAUAGUCAGCCAGACCAUGAUUGAGCUUAAGGGUUGUGCUGCGGAUGCAGCCUGUGCAGUUCCGGGAGAAAGUCACUGUCUCGGGCAAUGCGGUCUGGUAUCAGGUCUGGAUGAUCCUUGCCUGACUGCGGGUUUGUGUACACCUCAAUCCGACUCUGUGUCCUGAACAGAGGCCGCAGUGGUGCAGCGCUUGUGGACGAUCCAUCAACAUCCUGAAAGGUCAACACUACACCAAGCUGGGAAAAUUGAUCCUGAUAGUCAUCCCCAGGCCUGACCGUUUGUCCUUGAGCCGUUGAUGGUCAACAAUCCGCUAGCUGUCUUGCUCUGACUGGUGCACUGGACAUGAUUUCAAUAGUCAGCCAGACCAUGAUUGAGCUUAAGGGUUGUGCUGCGGAUGCAGCCUGUGCAGUUCCGGGAGAAAGUCACUGUCUCGGGCAAUGCGGUCUGGUAUCAGGUCUGGAUGAUCCUUGCCUGACUGCGGGUUUGUGUACACCUCAAUCCGACUCUGUGUCCUGAACAGAGGCCGCAGUGGUGCAGCGCUUGUGGACGAUCCAUCAACAUCCUGAAAGGUCAACACUACACCAAGCUGGGAAAAUUGAUCCUGAUAGUCAUCCCCAGGCCUGACCGUUUGUCCUUGAGCCGUUGAUGGUCAACAAUCCGCUAGCUGUCUUGCUCUGACUGGUGCACUGGACAUGAUUUCAAUAGUCAGCCAGACCAUGAUUGAGCUUAAGGGUUGUGCUGCGGAUGCAGCCUGUGCAGUUCCGGGAGAAAGUCACUGUCUCGGGCAAUGCGGUCUGGUAUCAGGUCUGGAUGAUCCUUGCCUGACUGCGGGUUUGUGUACACCUCAAUCCGACUCUGUGUCCUGAACAGAGGCCGCAGUGGUGCAGCGCUUGUGGACGAUCCAUCAACAUCCUGAAAGGUCAACACUACACCAAGCUGGGAAAAUUGAUCCUGAUAGUCAUCCCCAGGCCUGACCGUUUGUCCUUGAGCCGUUGAUGGUCAACAAUCCGCUAGCUGUCUUGCUCUGACUGGUGCACUGGACAUGAUUUCAAUAGUCAGCCAGACCAUGAUUGAGCUUAAGGGUUGUGCUGCGGAUGCAGCCUGUGCAGUUUCCGGGA